AGGGGAUUAGGAUUGCCUUGGAAGGAAAGGAGACAAAGAUUGGGAAAAGGGUAUAGAUAGAACUCUACUGCAAGGGGACCGGAGAGAGCAGAAGAGGGGGCCAAAUGCUUUACAGGCUCAGAGGAAGAAGCUAGAGGGGGGACACCAUACCAUACCCCACUGCCCCACCUAGGCCUGGAGCCUAAGGAAGGGCCCCUUGGAUUUUCAAAUAGGCUGCCCUUCUACUCUUCUCCAUCCCUCCCAGAUAAGCUCCCCUCUCCCAACUCCCUUUUUCAGUAGUCUCUCCCCAGCCCUUAGGCCCUCCUUCCUGGGGGGCGGGAGGAGGAAGUCCCAAAGAGGACAGUCUUAACUCAGGGCCUGUCCCAACACCCCUUCCCCCGCAGGACUCACCAGCCAGGUCUGGGCGGCGCCAGAGCUGCCCUCAAAGUCAGGGCAUGAGAUGGGCCUGGUCCCCACUUCUGGGCACUGGCUGGAGGAUUGGGGGAGGGGGAUGGGAGAGGGAGGUCGAAGCUUCCCUAGCUAGGGUGGGUGUUCAAAGAGAGAGGAGCUGCCCGGAGGAGUCCCCGAGUUUCUCUAAGCAGUGGACAACAUCUGGCGCAGCUGGAAGGGGGAGGGGACGAAGAAUUCCGUUCUCCAAGAAAGAAGGAGAGGAAAAAACAAACAAAAAUACCCCAGCUUUCAAACCCAGUCUAGGGCUAGGAACGAGCCUCUCGGCCCCUGCCUUUCGGGCCCGGGAAAAACAAAUCCCUUCAACGACCAUCCCCUGCCCCAAACUGGAGCACUGGGUCCGGACAUAGACUCAGGCGCGGGCAGCAGAGGGAGAAGAAGCGCGGGGCAAGCCGCGGGGCUGCUGGUGUCCGCAGGGAGUCAGCGGGAGCGCGGACCGCGGCGCGGGGCCGGGGCGCGAGGCCACAGGUGACCCGGACAUCUCCUGCAGGGAACGGCAGGGGCGGCGGGGCCGGCGGGAAGCCCAGCAAGCGGCAGGCCAGUCCCGGGCGGAGGAGAGCCAAAGUCAGCAGGGAGCAAGCCUCUUGCGCUGCGCGGAAUCCAGAAUCCACCGAGAGGAGUGGGCAGCUGCGGGGAUCAGGCGAGGCCGGCUCCGGAAGCUUGGGACAGCGGGGCAGUGCCUUUUCCAAAUCCAGAGAAGGAGGAGGAGGAUUGGAGAGCAGAAAGGAUCCUCCCCAAGCACCUCGGGGCCUCUCGGGCCACGGACCGCUGUUUUCCCUGUCCCUCGAUUCUGGGGGGACGGGCACGGAACCGCGGUGUCAGGGAGCCGGCUUGGCAGGCGGGCGGGCGGGCGGGCGGGCGGCUCUGCCUCCUGCUAGACUGGCAGCUCUGGGCGAUGGCUCAGCUAAAGGCAGCCCAGCCUCUUUGCACUGUCAGAGAAGGGGGCCGGGCCGAGCCAAGCGGGGAGCCUUUAAAGCGACACACACUGCUUCUGACCCCCGGUUUCCUUCCCACCGGGUGAGCGGCGGGUAGGAGGAAGGGAGGAAGGGAGGCCCUUUGUAGCCAAUCUGAUAAAAUAAUUGGAGAAGUAGUCUUAAUGGAUUCUAAUGGAUUCAUCAGUUCUCUUUCUUGCAGGUAACCGUCUGAAUUUUAACUGGGGCCUUUUUGGAGACAAUUCCCGAAGGAAGGAAUCGUCAGAAGUAGAAUUAUGGACGUGGUAGGGGGUUUGCAUGAGCGUNNNNNNNNNNNCCACAAUCACACCAACUUAGUAGCAUCAUCCAGAUAUCAUGAUGCUGACAGCAAGGAGAAUUUGCUCUAGUAGGAGCUGGCAACCACAUCAAAAACUGGGGAAAUAGAGAAUGUAACUUUCUGAAGAACUGUAUUUAUUUCAUUUAAUUUAUGGAGAGGCAAAGUGGUCCUGUGGAUAGAGAGCUGGCCAUGGUGCUAAGGAAGGCCUGGGACAGAGUUGCCCCCUUCUGACAGAUACCGGCCAUUCGAGAUGAAAAAGAAACUUCCACUCCUGGUAUUCUAAAUAAUUCUCUCAAACCAGGAGUUUUUACUGUGUGUGUUACAGACCCUUCUGGAAGUCUAAUGAAGUCAAUGGACCCCUUCCCAGAAUAAUGCUUUUGAAUGUAUAAAAUGAAAAAAUGUUCACUGUGUUUAAACCUGGUUAAGGACUUCUGUAGACUAAGACUAAAAAUUAUUUUAAAAGUGCCAAUCUCCAUUAUGAAAAAGUUUCCUUGUUUGUUAGUCCCUUAUCUCAGUAAAGUUCUAGGUCAAGUCUCUGGUUUAUUUAUCAAGUUAUUUAUAUGUAUUUAAUUUAUAAAAAUUGAAGGCUAUCUCUAUAGUGUCCUAGAACCUCCACCGAGACAGCUCAGUUCACUGUCCUAUACACAAUGGGCAUUUCAUCAAUUUUGGACUGUUUCUUUUUCCUGAUAAAUCAUCAGUCUCUAGUAGAGGACACUGAAUAAAUACUUAUUGUUGAAUAAAUGAAUGAUGUUC
ensembl:lncRNA